AUCCCGGUGCAAUGAGACUAGCCUCGU
rnacentral:piRNA from 1 species